rnacentral:rRNA from 1 species
CAGCCGCCACGGUAAUACGAAGGGGGCUAGCGUUGUUCGGAAUUACUGGGCGUAAAGCGCACGUAGGCGGACAUUUAAGUCAGGGGUGAAAUCCCGGGGCUCAACCCCGGAACUGCCUUUGAUACUGGGUGUCUAGAGUAUGGAAGAGGUGAGUGGAAUUCCGAGUGUAGAGGUGAAAUUCGUAGAUAUUCGGAGGAACACCAGUGGCGAAGGCGGCUCACUGGUCCAUUACUGACGCUGAGGUGCGAAAGCGUGGGGAGCAAACAGGAUUAGAUACCCCGGUAGUCCCUGUCUCUUAUAC